rnacentral:rRNA from 1 species
GACGAACGCCGGCGGCGUGCUUAACACAUGCAAGUCGAACGGAAAGGCCCCUUUGGGGGUACUCGAGUGGCGAACGGGUGAGUAACACGUGAGUAACCUGCCCUUGACUUCGGGAUAACUUCAGGAAACUGGGGCUAAUACCGGAUAGGAAUCCUUGCUGCAUGGUGGGGGUUGGAAAGCUUCGGCGGUUUUGGAUGGACUCGCGGCUUAUCAGCUUGUUGGUGGGGUAGUGGCUUACCAAGGCUUUGACGGGUAGCCGGCCUGAGAGGGCGACCGGCCACAUUGGGACUGAGAUACGGCCCAGACUCCUACGGGAGGCAGGAGUGGGGAAUAUUGCACAAUGGGCGGAAGCCUGAUGCAGCAACGCCGCGUGCGGGAUGACGGCCUUCGGGUUGGAAACCGCUUUCAGCAGGGGCGAAGCUUGUGGUGACGGUACCUGCAGAAGAAGCACCGGCUAACUACGUG